rnacentral:rRNA from 1 species
GAUGAACGCUGGCGGCGUGCCUAAUACAUGCAAGUCGAACGAACAGACGAGGAGCUUGCUCCUCUGACGUUAUCGGCGGACGGGUGCGUACCACGUGGAUAACCUACCUAUCAGACUGGGAUAACUUCGGGAAACCGGAUCUAAUACCGGAUAAUAUAUUGAACCGCAUGGUUCAAUAGUGAAAGACGGUUUUGCUGUCACUUAUAGAUGAAUCAGCGCCGCAUUAGCUAGUUGGUAAGGUAACGGCUUACCAAGGCAACGAUGCGUAGCCGCCCCGAAGGGGACGAUCGCCACACGGGAUGAGAGACACGGCCCAGACUCCGACGGGGAGACACAGCCGGGAAUCCUCCGGAAGGGGGCAAAGGCGAACAGAGGAAAGUCGGGGGAAGGAUGAAGGACCUCUGACGCGUAAAAGAUGGUAUUAGGGAAGAACAAAAGCUCUAGUAACCAGGAAGGUAUUGACGGUACCGAAUCAGAAAGCCACGGCUAACUACGUG